rfam:Streptomyces coelicolor A3(2) complete genome
ACCUGUUGCGGGCGGAGCGAGCGAUGCCCGCAACACCAGACAGAACACCGUGCCCACGGGAACAAUCGGGGCACUUCAGGGCGUU